ensembl:lncRNA
CUGAAUGUAUUUCAUCAAUCAGAAUGUAAGGAUUUACACUGAAACAUGCAUGUGGUGUGUUUGUGGUAGGCUGGCCGGGCACACCUUAUUCUGUAGAUAUCUGUGAAGGUCUGGAGGACUGGAGUGGAGCAAACAGCCUCUCUAACCCAUCUGACACUGAGGAGGAGGAGGAGGCUGCCCGUUUGGUGAGAGACGGACAUCCCACACUCACUCAGUCACUUAUAUAAGUUGCGGGCGACACUUUUUUUUUUUUUUUUUACUUGUUCAACUGUUUGUUUUAGGUUGCUGGCAGAUACAGGGCCUUCGUCGAGUGGCGUAAAAAUGGGACAGAUAAGUUCAUCAUUAAGUGUGGUGGUCCACCCCCCCCCCCCCAGUCCCUUAUAGAAAUUGGUGGGUGCACUUUUUUUUUUUUUUUUUUACUUGUUCAACUGUUUGUUUUAGGUUGCUGGCAGAUACAGGGCCUUCGUCGAGUGGCGUAAAAAUGGGACAGAUAAGUUCAUCAUUAAGUGUGGUGAUGUCAUACAACUACAGCAUGAGGAAAAUGAUGGCCAUUGGCUGGUGAAGAAUCUGAGUCGCAGACAGGAAGGCCGUAUCCCUACUGCCAAUCUGCAGGGCAUGCUGGGGGAAAGCCUCAAGAAUCACUCCAACCGGCUUGGAGACCCAGGGAAUCGUAAGGCGCGGAAGCUCAGCUCGCCGUGAAGGAAUGGCCCAGUGCUAUAUUGGACCUUUAACAUUCACACUUGGUAGCUCAGACUGUAUGUGACUACAUGGAUUCAGUCCUGACCAGCAGGAUUGUGUUCCAGAUGUUUUGAACUGAUCCUCUUUGACAGAUGCUACCAAAAUGCAAAAGACAAAUUGUUGUACAUCUUACAAGAGAUCUCGACCAUUUCAGAAAACCCAGAGAGCGCAUUUAAAAAACUGUCCUCUGCCUAAACACACUUCAGUCCUCCUGACUAGGUGAAGCCUAGAACAUUCUGACUCUGAGAUUGUCCCAAUAGACUUCAGAGUUGUUUUUAAAUUCAUCAAAAGGCCUCUUCGUUGCUGUCUUCACGGUUAACUCCUAGAAGACCUAUGAAAACAUCCUGUUCGUAAAGGACCUUCAUUUUUUAACUGUGUGUUUGUGCUGUUAUUUAUCUUGUACUGUUACUGUUAUAUUUAUCCUCAAUCUGAGCUCUUCCUGAGAGCUUCAGUGCCAAAUUAUGCAGUGCCAUAAUGCCUGUUUUCCCACUUUUAUUUAAUACAGACUUUGCUCAGUAGUGCACUAGUUACCUCAAAAAAUAUUUAAAAGCACUUUAUUCGGGUCACAAAUUUGUGGCUCUUUGUGUCUUUCUACAGCUUUAAACCGGAUGAAUUUUGCAUGCCGUAAAUUCUUGCCUCUCUUAUUUAGUAAAAUUCUCUUGUCAGGCACUUUACAUGCAGAAUCUACUCUACCAGCUUGAAGACCUGGGGGCUGUCAUGUAAGUUGACUUUGGAGCCACAAAUAUGAGUUGAGCGCAUGUGUGUUGAAAUCUGCUAAAUCAGAGCCGUGUUGAUGGAGGUUUCUUAUUAAGGGAGAUCAUACAGAAAGCAUUAACUAUACCCUCUAUUUAGAAUGCUUAAUUAAAUAUUAAUUGCAGACUUAUAUGAAUUUACUACAUUAAAUCAGGUCUACAGUUGGAGGGCUGACUUUGAUAUUUCACCGUUUGAAGUGGAAAUAAGCUGUGUGUAGCAGCAGGAGACGCUGUGCAGUACAUAUCUCUUAUGUUAUUAAUUUCGCUAUGAAGUUGUUCCCUUCCAGCGUGGAGCUUCAGCCACCCACUCAAAAUCAAGCCACGUAAAGGACACAACUUCCUGAAAACUGUGCUGUUUUAGCCAUAUAUACUGUCAGCUUUGCAUAUUUAUAUGCUUAUUCAUGUCCACUUACCAGACGUCCAACACAUUGAAUAUCUGGGAUUCAAAAUUUCAUGAUCAUUAGUUUUUCCACCAUGUUCAUGUUAAUUUUUCAAUCAAAUUUUUCACUCAGAAAUAAUGCAAAAGAGAAGCAUUUUCACUAAUGGUCUCAGAUUUUUGGACCCCA